GAUGAACGCUGGCGGCGUGCCUAAUACAUGCAAGUCGAGCGAACAGACGAGGAGCUUGCUCCUCUGACGUUAGCGGCGGACGGGUGAGUAACACGUGGAUAACCUACCUAUAAGACUGGGAUAACUUCGGGAAGCCGGAGCUAAUACCGGAUAAUAUAUUGAACCGCAUGGUUCAAUAGUGAAAGACGGUUUUGCUGUCACUUAUAGAUGGAUCCGCGCCGCAUUAGCUAGUUGGUAAGGUAACGGCUUACCAAGGCGACGAUGCGUAGCCGACCUGAGAGGGUGAUCGGCCACACGGGAACUGAGACACGGUCCAGACUCCUACGGGAGGCAGCAGUAGGGAAUCUUCCGCAAUGGGCGAAAGCCUGACGGAGCAACGCCGCGUGAGUGAUGAAGGUCUUCGGAUCGUAAAACUCUGUUAUUAGGGAAGAACAAAUGUGUAAGUAACUAUGCACGUCUUGACGGUACCUAAUCAGAAAGCCACGGCUAACUACGUG
rnacentral:rRNA from 1 species